rnacentral:lncRNA from 1 species
GGAGAAGAGAGACACAUCGGGGAGGCUGGAACUGGCCGAGAGCGUCACCCGCACCUCGGUGGCUCUCUAUAGCGCGCCCAGAGCGCAGCUUUGGCAUGCCACGGCAUGCUGGCGCACUCUCGGGUGCCUUGGACAUGUCUAGCCUGUCCCGGGCACUGGCUGGGAGAUGCCUAGCCGUUGGAGACCCGUGGGAGCUCUGGCUGGUCAAGGGGGACAAAGAAAACAUG